UCCGUUUUGACAACGGCAGUCUCGUUAGAGUCCUCGCCAUAACGCGUUAGUAACUAACGACAGGGGUUGCGCUCGUUAAGGGACUGAACCCGACGCUUCACAGCACGAGCUGACGACAGCCAUGCAGCACCUGUGAUCGUUGUACCCUUGCGGGCCUCAUCGAUGUUUCCACCGACUAAUUCGAUCAUGUCAAACCUAGGUAAGGUUCUGCGCGUUGCUUCGAAUUAAGCCACAUGCUCCACCGCUUGUGUGAGCCCCCGUCAAUUCCUUUGAGUUUUAGCCUUGCGACCGUACUCCCCAGGCGGUGUGCUUAGCAAUUUCUCUACGAUCCCGACGACGUCAGAGUCGCCGUAAUCCAGCACACAUCGUUUAGGGCGUGGACUAC
rnacentral:misc_RNA from 1 species